rnacentral:rRNA from 1 species
CCUACGGGGGGCUGCAGUGGGGAAUAUUGGACAAUGGGCGCAAGCCUGAUCCAGCCAUGCCGCGUGGGUGAAGAAGGCCUUCGGGUUGUAAAGCCCUUUUGUCCGGAAAGAAAAGCUCGAGGUUAAUACCUUCGGGUCCUGACGGUACCGGAAGAAUAAGCACCGGCUAACUUCGUGCCAGCAGCCGCGGUAAUACGAAGGGUGCAAGCGUUACUCGGAAUUACCGGGCGUAAUUCGUGCGUACUGAGGUGAAAGCCCUGGGCUCAACCUGGGAAUUGCAUUGGAUACUGGCGGGCUAGAAUGCGGUAGAGGAUGGCGGAAUUCCCGGUGUAGCAGUGAAAUGCGUAGAGAUCGGGAGGAACAUCUGUGGCGAAGGCGGCCAUCUGGACCAGCACUGACACUGAGGCACGAAAGCGUGGGGAGCAAACAGGAUUAGAUACCCCUGUAGUC